rnacentral:rRNA from 1 species
CGGGAAAAGCUCAAAUUUAAAAUCUGGCCGUCUUUGGCGGUCCGAGUUGUAAUUUAGAGAAGUGUUACUUGCGCUGGACCGUACACAAGUCUCUUGGAAUAGAGCGUCAUAGAGGGUGAGAAUCCCGUCUGUGGUAUGGACUCCC